rnacentral:tRNA from 1 species
AUCCAUAUAGUUUAAAAAACAUUUUAUUUUCAUUAAAAAAAAGGAAUUUAAUUCCUAUGGUUU